rnacentral:rRNA from 1 species
GGAGCUGGGUGGGGUCGCAGAGGCCAGGGGGAAGCGACUGUUUACUAAAAACACAGGUCCGUGCCAAGUCGUAAGACGCUGUAUACGGACUGACGCCUGCCCGGUGCCGGAACGUUAAGAGGACCGGUUAGAGGUUUCGACCUCGAAGCUGAGAAUCUAAGCGCCGGUAAACGGCGGUGGUAACUAUAACCAUCCUAAGGUAGCGAAAUUCCUUGUCGGGUAAGUUCCGACCUGCACGAAUGGCGUAACGACUUCCCCGCUGUCUCAACCACAGGCCCGGCGAAAUUGCAGUACGAGUAAAGAUGCUCGUUUCGCGCAGCAGGACGGAAAGACCCCGGGACCUUCACUAUAGCUUGGCAUUGGCGUUUGGAGCGUCUUGUGUAGGAUAGGUGGGAGACGUGGAAGCCGGCACGCCAGUGUCGGUGGAGUCAUUGGUGAAAUACCACUCUGGUCGUUUUGAGCGUCUAACCCGCACCCGUGGAUCCGGGUGGGGGACAGUGCCUGGUGGGUAGUUUAACUGGGGCGGUUGCCUCCCAAAGAGUAACGGAGGCGCCCAAAGGUUCCCUCAGCCUGGUUGGCAAUCAGGUGGCGAGUGCAAGGGCACAAGGGAGCUUGACUGUGAGACGGACGUGUCGAGCAGGUGCGAAAGCAGGGCCUAGUGAUCCGGCACCGACGUGUGGAAGUGGUGUCGCUCAACGGCUAAAAGGUACCCCGGGGAUAACAGGCUGAUCUUCCCCAAGAGUCCAUAUCGACGGGAUGGUUUGGCACCUCGAUGUCGGCUCGUCGCAUCCUGGGGCUGGAGUAGGUCCCAAGGGUUGGGCUGUUCGCCCAUUAAAGCGGCACGCGAGCUGGGUUUAGAACGUCGCGAGACAGUUCGGUCCCUAUCCGCUGCGCGCGUAGGAGAAUUGAAGGGAUCUGUCCCUAGUACGAGAGGACCGGGACGGACGGACCUCUGGUGUGCCAGUUGUCCCGCCAGGGGCACGGCUGGUUGGCUACGUUCGGUAGGGAUAACCGCUGAAAGCAUCUAAGCGGGAAGCCUGCCUUGAGAUGAGUUCUCCCUCCCACUUUCGGGUGGGGUAAGGCCCCCAACAGACCAUUGGGUUGAUAGGCCGGAGAUGGAAGCGCGGUAACGUGUGGAGUCGACCGGUACUAAUAGGCCGAGCGGCUUGAACAC